GCCGACCUGGCCCAACAGGUAGAGGCCCCGCACUCAAAAUGCGGCGUAGUCCCGGUUCAAAUCCGGGGGUCGGUA
rnacentral:tRNA from 1 species